rnacentral:rRNA from 1 species
UACGUAGGGUGCGAGCGUUAAUCGGAAUUACUGGGCGUAAAGCGUGCGCAGGCGGCUUUGCAAGACAGAUGUGAAAUCCCCGGGCUCAACCUGGGAACUGCAUUUGUGACUGCCAGGCUAGAGUACGGCAGAGGGGGAUGGAAUUCCGCGUGUAGCAGUGAAAUGCGUAGAUAUGCGGAGGAACACCAAUGGCGAAGGCAAUCCCCUGGGCCUGUACUGACGCUCAUGCACGAAAGCGUGGGGAGCAAACAGG